CAGGUCUUGGUCCAGUUACAAAGACUUAAGCCCGGAGAACUUUGAUUUUACUACUAAUGGUCUGUCCAAUACCGACAGCAUGCUGUAGUCCCUGCCAAUCAUGAUUCUGCUGGUAUCCAGAGCACGGCAAGUGAGUAGACAGAUUUGCUGAGGAUUACAGAUGUCUCUGAGACACAGUAAAUGCCAUUGCUCCCACUGAAGAGAGGUCUUCGCUGGAGAUGCUAAGAUCUGCCCAUUGAUCUUUGUCUUUCAGAAGUCAAUGUCAGCCAUUAAACCAGCAAUGCCCAAUGGGUUUGGAACAGAAGGAAUUAGGCUGCUGAGCAUGUAAAAUUGUCAAUAAAAGUUUUAGAGAUCUAUA